GUCUACGUGGUGUAAUGGUAGCACAUUCGACACGUAUUCGAGAGGUCUAGGUUCGAGUCCCAGCGAAGGAA
rnacentral:tRNA from 1 species